GUCCACGCCGUAAACGAUGGAUACUAGCUGUUGGGGAGCGAUCUCAGUGGCUAAGCGAAAGUGAUAAGUAUCCCACCUGGGGAGUACGUUCGCAAGAAUGAAACUCAAAGGAAUUGACGGGGGCCCGCACAAGCGGUGGAGCAUGUGGUUUUAAUUCGAUGAUACGCGAGGAACCCUUACCAAGGCUUAAAUGUAGAUUGACCGGUUUGGAACAGAUCUUUCGCAAGACAAUUUACAAGGUGCUGCAUGGUUGUCGU
rnacentral:rRNA from 1 species